GCGUUAUCCGGAUUUAUUGGGUUUAAAGGGUGCGUAGGCGGCUUUUUAAGUCAGGGGUGAAAACUUGCGGCUCAACCGUAAGCUUGCCUUUGAUACUGAGGAGCUUGAAUACACUUGAGGUAGGCGGAAUGUGACAAGUAGCGGUGAAAUGCAUAGAUAUGUCACAGAACACCAAUUGCGAAGGCAGCUUACUAAAGUGAGAUUGACGCUGAGGCACGAAAGCGUGGGGAUCAAACAGGAUUAGAUACCCUGGUAGUCCACGCCCUAAACGAUGAAUACUCGAUGUUAGCAAUACACCGUUAGCGUCUAAGCGAAAGCGUUAAGUAUUCCACCUGGGGAGUACGCCCGCAAGGGUGAAACUCAAAGGAAUUGACGG
rnacentral:rRNA from 1 species